rnacentral:rRNA from 1 species
AGUCAAGAUGAGAAUUCUAAGGUGAGCGAGCGAACUCUCGUUAAGGAACUCGGCAAAAUGACCCCGUAACUUCGGGAGAAGGGGUGCUCUUUAGGGUUAACGCCCAGAAGAGCCGCAGUGAAUAGGCCCAAGCGACUGUUUAUCAAAAACACAGGUCUCUGCUAAACCGUAAGGUGAUGUAUAGGGGCUGACGCCUGCCCGGUGCUGGAAGGUUAAGAGGAGUGGUUAGCUUCUGCGAAGCUACGAAUCGAAGCCCCAGUAAACGGCGGCCGUAACUAUAACGGUCCUAAGGUAGCGAAAUUCCUUGUCGGGUAAGUUCCGACCCGCACGAAAGGCGUAACGAUUUGGGCACUGUCUCAACGAGAGACUCGGUGAAAUCAUAGUACCUGUGAAGAUGCAGGUUACCCGCGACAGGACGGAAAGACCCCGUGGAGCUUUACUGUAGCCUGAUAUUGAAAUUCGGCACAGCUUGUACAGGAUAGGUAGGAGCCUUUGAAACGUGAGCGCUAGCUUACGUGGAGGCGCUGGUGGGAUACUACCCUAGCUGUGUUGGCUUUCUAACCCGCACCACUUAUCGUGGUGGGAGACAGUGUCAGGCGGGCAGUUUGACUGGGGCGGUCGCC